UGAACGCUGGCGGCAGGCCUAACACAUGCAAGUCGAACGCGAAAGUCCUCGGAUGAGUAGAGUGGCGGACGGGUGGAGUAACGCGUAGGAAUCUGUCCGGUAGUGGGGGAGUAACGUUCCGAAAGGAACGCUAAUACCGCAUACGUCCUACGGGAGAAAGCAGGGGACCUUCGGGCCUUGCGCUAUCAGAUGAGCCUAGGUCGGAUUAGCUAGUUGGUGAGGUAAUGGCUCACCAAGGCGACGAUCAGUAGCUGGUUUGAGAGAACAACCAGCCUCACUGGAACUGAGACACGGUCCAGACUCCUACGGGAGGCAGCAGUGGGGAAUUUUGGACAAUGGACGCAAGUCUGAUCCAGCCAUUCCGCGUGCAGGAUGAAGGCCCUCGGGUUGUAAACUGCUUUUGUACGGAACGAAAAGGUUUCUCUUAAUACGAGGAGCUCAUGACGGUACCGUAAGAAUAAGCACCGGCUAACUACGUGCCAGCAGCCGCGGUAAUCU
rnacentral:rRNA from 1 species